rnacentral:rRNA from 1 species
UGGGGAAUAUUGCACAAUGGGCGCAAGCCUGAUGCAGCCAUGCCGCGUGUAUGAAGAAGGCCUUCGGGUUGUAAAGUACUUUCAGUCGGGAGGAAGGUGUCAAGGUUAAUAACCUUGGCAAUUGACGUUACCGACAGAAGAAGCACCGGCUAACUCCGUGCCAGCAGCCGCGGUAAUACGGAGGGUGCAAGCGUUAAUCGGAAUUACUGGGCGUAAAGCGCACGCAGGCGGUUGAUUGAGUCAGAUGUGAAAUCCCCGGGCUUAACCCGGGAAUUGCAUCUGAUACUGGUCAGCUAGAGUCUUGUAGAGGGGGGUAGAAUUCCAUGUGUAGCGGUGAAAUGCGUAGAGAUGUGGAGGAAUAUCGGUGGCGAAGGCGGCCCCCUGGACAAAGACUGACGCUCAGGUGCGAAAGCGUGGGGAGCAAACAGG